rnacentral:rRNA from 1 species
UACGUAGGGAGCAAGCGUUAUCCGGAUUUAUUGGGUGUAAAGGGUGCGUAGGCGGGAAGGCAAGUUGAAUGUGAAAUACCGGGGCUCAACUCCGGGGCUGCGUUCAAAACUGUUUUUCUUGAGUACAGCAGAGGCAAGCGGAAUUCCCAGUGUAGCGGUAAUAUGCGUAGAUAUUGGGAGGAACACCGGUGGCGAAGGCGGCUUGCUGGGCUGCAACUGACGCUGAAGCACGAAAGUGUGGGGAGCAAACAGG